rnacentral:rRNA from 1 species
GCAGCAGUCGGGAAUCUUGCACAAUGGCGAAAGCCUGAUGCAGCAACACCGUGUGAGCGAUGAAGGCCUUAGGGUCGUAAAGCUCUGUUUGCGAGGACGAAGGGUGAAGGGUUAAUAGCCCUUAGCCUGACGGUACUUGUACAGAAAGCCCCGGCUAACUACGUGCCAGCAGCCGCGGUAAUACGUAGGGGGCGAGCGUUGUCCGGAAUUAUUGGGCGUAAAGAGCGUGUAGGCGGCUUGGUAAGUCUGCUGUGAAACCUUGGGGCUCAACCCCAAGCGUGCAGUGGAUACUGUCAAGCUAGAGGAUGGUAGAGGCCAGUGGAAUUCCCAGUGUAGCGGUGAAAUGCGCAGAUAUUGGGAGGAACACCAGUAGCGAAGGCGGCUGGCUGGGCCAUUCCUGACGCUGAGACGCGAAAGCUAGGGGAGCGAACAGGAUUAGAUACCCUGGUAGUCCUAGCCGUAAACGAUGAACACUAGGUGUGGGGGGAGUCGAAUCCCUCUGUGCCGAAGUAACGCGUUAAGUGUUCCGCCUGGGGAGUACGGCCGCAAGGCUA